rnacentral:ncRNA from 1 species
UAUCUCUCAGAAUAGCUGGAGUACGUAAUAAAGCAGUUAUAUUCGAUAAAGCGAAUGAUUAGAGGAGUUGUAGGAAGAAACGUCUUCAACCUAUUCUCAAAUUUUCAAUGAGUAUGACGUCUUGCUUGCUUGAAUGAAGCGUGGACAUUGAAUGUGGACCAUUUUUGAUAAGCAGAACUGACACUUGGGAAGACCA